rnacentral:tRNA from 1 species
GGGGCUGUAGCUCAGCGGCAGAGCACUUGCCUCCCAUGCAUGAUGCACUGGGUUCGAUUCUCAGCACCA